CUUGGCUGUGUAUGUGUGUGUGUGUGUGUGUGUGUGUGUGUGUGUAUAUAUAUAUAUACACACACACACACACACACACACACACACACACAAACC